UUUCCAGGAGCGGUGACUCUCAUCUGCUUGAAGAUGAACCCACUGUGGACCUUCCUCUUCGUGCUGUCAGCUCCCAGCGGGGUCCUGUCCCAGGUGCAGCUGCAGGAGUCGGGACCCAGCCUGGUGAAGCCCUCACAGACCCUCUCCGUCACCUGCGCUGUCUCUGGAUUCUCACUAACCAGCUAUGCUGUAGGCUGGGUCCGCCAGGCUCCAGGGAAGGCACUGGAGUGGGUUGGUGUUAUAUGCAGUGGUGGAAGCACAGGCUACAACCCAGCCCUGAAAUCCCGGCUCAGCAUCACCAGGGACACCUCCAAGAGCCAAGUCUCUCUCUCACUGAGCAGCGUGACACCUGAGGACACGGCCGUGUAUUACUGUGCAAGAGACACAGUGAGGGGAAUGCUGGGUGUGUCUGGCCCCCGUGAGGACACACCCCCAGGAGGCGAGCCUGGAGCCCAAGGCCUCCAGGCUCUGCAGACCCAGCGCUAGAAUCUAGAUUGGCUAUCCUCUUUUUCCACAAUUCUGGGGUAAAGGCUUUAAAAUCCUCAAACUCAAACUGGGUUCUAAAACUCAGCGAUGGAAGGUUCUGGAAACACUCUCCUGGCCCCACAAUG